rnacentral:miRNA from 1 species
UUCCUAAUCCCCCUGCAUGUUU